GCCCAAGCUCUCUCACUCAAUCCCAGCACAUCUCUGAGCUCAGGACUCCCAUCUCUUCCAGGCACAGGAGGGAAAGUCUGGGAAGGGCCUUGGGAUGGGGCAGCAGUGAAGGCAAUCCCGAGAAGCCGAGCGUCUGGCGUGUCCACUAUGGAAGAGUCUGAACCAUCGGCUGGUACUGAGAAGUCCUGCAGGGGUAGAGGUCCUGACCAGCUUAAAGAAGGCUUGACCGGAGCCCCGUUGGCAGGUGCUCAUCCAUACAGGGUUUCCAAUAGUAGGACCCCAAGCCUGGGGCAGAGGACAGGGUCAAAUUCCAGAAAAAGCAAGACAGAUCUCCAUCCUAGAGCCUGAAUGGGCAGAGUCCGAAUGCAGAAGGCUGAGGGGUCCAGGCAAGGUCCAAGUUAGAGAGCUGGAUGCUGGCCAGGCCCUGGUUACUCUCCCUUCCUCAUGAAUUCACUCACACUUCUUCGUGGAGCAGCUACUAUUAAGACUCAGCUAUGGCCAGAUAUGACGGUUCACACCUAUAAUCCCAGCACUGUGGGAGGCUGAAGCAGGAGGAUUGGUUGAGGCCAGGAAUUCAAGACCCGCCUGGGCAGCACAGCAAGACCCCAUCUCUACAAAAAUUUUAAAAAUCGGGAUGGCGGUGCACACCUCUAGUCUCAGUUACUUGGGAGGCUGAGGUGGGAGGAUCGCUUGAGCCCAGGAGAUGGACUCAACUCUGUGCCACAGAUGCCAAGGUAUUUGGCCAUGCCAAUUGUCACUUGAGCUUCUAAACUGUCCCCAUUAGAGUCAGGGCUCAUCCUAGAGUCUGAAGGGGCUGUGCUUCCAGUGUCUCCUGGUGCAGUGAUUUUAAAACGUGUCAUUUCUUUUCCAUUCCUGGAGUUAAGAGGUGGAGUCCUAUUCCUCUUGCCUUGAAUAUGGGCUGGUCUCCGUGACUCCCUUCUAACCAGCAGCAGGUGGCAGAAGUAAGGCCAUGUGUCUCCUGGCAGCAGGUCGUGAAAGCAACAGCUUUUGCCAGCUCUUGUUCUUGGGCUCUACCCAGCUCCCACACUAUGAGGAAGCCCGGGCCACAUGGAGAGGACACAGCCCUCGUUCCAGCCGACAGCCCAGCUGUGUCUCAGCUGCCAGACAGAAGAGUUCAGUGUGCUGGCAUGGAAGUGGAACCCGGAAGAUGUGUUACCUCAUCCCCUUCAAAGAAGCUUGGUUCUCAGGGCUCAGCAUAAGACAUCUCAUGGGAAUUGAGAAGGGGCUCCUUGUCUGAGACCAGAUGACAAGGAGAAGAUGUUAAUAUGGGGAAGUCCCCAGGGUGGGGUAGAUGACAGCAGGAUGACACCUGCCUGGGACUUUCCCACCAGCUCUGCCCAAGGUCACUGCACACUUGAGCUGAGCUGCUGAGGCACUCUGAGCCGGCUGAGGGUGUCUGUGCCUCCCCA
rnacentral:lncRNA from 13 species